AGUAGUUUGAUCAGUGGCUCGAGGACGAACGCUGGCGGCGUGCCUAACACAUGCAAGUCGAACGAGAAAUAAUGAUUUGAUUCCUUCGGGAUGAAAAGAAUUAUGGACAGUGGCGGACGGGCGAGUAACGCGUGAGUAACCUGCCCAUAAGAGAGGGAUAGCCGAUGGAAACGUCGAGUAAUACCGCAUAUUGUAAUAUAAUCGCAUGGUUAAAUUAUGAAAGAUUUAUCGCUUAUGGAUGGACUCGCGUCUGAUUAGAUAGUUGGUGAGGUAACGGCUCACCAAGUCGACGAUCAGUAGCCGAACUGAGAGGUUGAUCGGCCGCAUUGGGACUGAGACACGGCCCAGACUCC
rnacentral:rRNA from 1 species